UCACUUUUAUUUUCUCUCCAUAACUAGAUGUCCGUACACAUACUUGUGGCUCACGUCUUUUGUUCGUUUCACAUCCAAAUAUCUAUACAAGUUGAUUAACUUGAUCCUCAGAGUGCUUGUAAUUGUCUUUUUCACUAUCAAAGAAGGCCAAGUGUACAAGAGCCUUACACUUGGAUGUGAGUGGAGUAAGACCUGUUGACCACGUAAUCAGUCAGAAAUUGAGGCCAGCAUGAAGAUUGUAAAGUAAAAAAUGGAGAAAUAUACUUCAUUCAUAAUUAUAUUCUUGCCA
rnacentral:lncRNA from 1 species